rnacentral:tRNA from 10 species
CAUAUGUAUUGGGUGCCUAGAACGUGCCAGGUAUUAUUCUAGAUACUUGCAGUAUAUCACAAUGAAAUUAAGAUUCCUGUUUUGCAGUACCUUUUAUUCAAGGGGUGAGGGUGCUUGGUAGGGGUGAGGGGUAGAGAGAGAGAAGCAAUAAACAACUAAGCAUUAAAAGUGAUAACUAAGUAAAUUAGACUACAGUAUUACAAAGAGUAGAUGGGGGAUCUCAUAGAGAAUUUAGUUGUGAUCAAGGCUAAUGAGUUCCCAUGUAGACAUCUAGGAACAAGUAUUCCAGGUAGAGGCCCUAAACCAAAGACAUGCCUGGCUUGUUCAGGCAUGGACACAGUGCUUGGGAUGAAGUGAAUAAGGGGAAACAUUGUAUGGGAGGAGGUCAGAGAGUUAACAGGGGCCAGAUCAGCAUGCAGUGUUGUUGGCUUUUAUAAGGACAUAGCCUUUUACUUUAUGCAAAACAGGAAGCCACUGGAUAGUUUUGAGCAGAAGAGAGACAUAUCUGAGUUACAUUUUAUAUCAUUAUUCUGGUUCUCUUUUAAACAAUUUUUUUAUAUAAAUUUAAGGCUCUCUCUGAGAACAGACUAUGGAGGAGGCAAGGGUGGAAGCAACUUGGAAACCAGUCAGGAGACUCCGGCUAUCAUUUAGUUGGUGGUACAGACCAGAAUGGGAGUAGUUGAGGUGUUAAGAAGUGGUCAGAUUCAGCAAACACUGUGAAGGUGGAAUUAAGGAGAUUUUCUAAUGGAGAGAGAGAUUUCAAGGAUACCAAGAUUUUAGGCCUGAGCAGCUGGCAAAAUGGAGUUGCCAUCAACUGAGAUGGAAAUCUCUGGGUUGAACAGAUUUGUAGGAGAAGGCAAAAAGUUAAGUUUUGGACAAACCAAGUUUCAGGUGUCUAUUAGUUAUCCAAGUGUAGAUGUCAAGUAGGCAGUUUUUGAACUGGAUAGAGAUAUUUGGGAGUCAUCAGCAUCGGAGACAUUGAAAUAUGUGCUUCUGGAUGAGAUCACCAAAGAGUCAAUGCAAAUUGAGAAGGCCAAGGACUGCACCUCGAGGCACUCCAAUAUUAAGACAUGGGAGAAAGAAGGGAAAGCUUAGCAAAGGAAACUGGAAAUCAAUGGCCAAUGAGGUGGAAGGAAAACCAAAAAAUGAAGAAAGAAUAUCCAAAGGAGGAGUUGGUGAGCUGCUGAGGCAAAUGAUUCUAAAUCCACUAAUGGAAACUAGAGUUUUAAAAAGCUAACUAUGUGGGAAAAAAUGGAUUCUCCACCCCUUUGGUCCAUAUAAAUAAAGGAAGAAAUUUGAAGUGCUUUUAUAUAUGCAACUUAACUUCAUGUCGUUGUUUAAAAGCCAAAACGUUUCACAGGUACAUAGGGAAAGCAAGCUGCAGGCUCAGGGCUGAGAACACAGGUCCCAUUAGUCUUAAGGAAGGGUGUUUUAAAUUCUGACCUCAAUUGUUUAGACAAUGUUGAUUUCACAGCCUCCACCUUAUAUAUAUUAUCAUGUAGGAGAUAGAGUGCUUGCUGCAGUAAGUUCAGGUGUUUUGUGUUGCAGAGAAAACUGUAAAAUCUGUUUUAGAUGUUUGCAUGUUUACCUAGUUUUUCACUUCAAAAAAUUGGUGAAGAGACUUCUGUCAAAAGAAUUUCAGUGGGCUACCUACCACCUCUUUCCCACAGUGGAAGCAGAGAUUGGUGAUUAAUAUCCUCUGUCCUGCGGGGGAAAAAAUUCAUGAUGUCAGAAAAUGAGUGAGUCAACAGAAAGCCUACCUAAGAGUCUCCUUGGCUGAGGAGGAAGACGAAAGCACAGUUCUGAGCAUGAGAGCUCACAUUCUGUUUCUACCAGGUGCUGAAGAAAAGCAAGACAGGUGGUUAAGACUGAAGAGUUGAUCCUGCGCUGUGCUGUGGAGUGGGCAGCUUCUCUCCAUCUUCUCUCACCCUGACACACUGUCUUAGGAUUCCAGUCUCAGAAGCCAGGAACAUAAGCUCCAGGAAAGCCACAGACUAUGGCCACCUACAUCUUGAAGCUCCGUGCCUGCCCUUGGGAGACACUAAAUGGAGUCUUGCUCUGUCGUCAGGCUGGAGUGCACUGGCGUAAUCUGGGCUUACUGCAACCUCCGCCUCCCGGAUUCAAGCGAUUCUCCUGCCUCAGCCUCCCGAGUGGCUGGGACUACAGGCAUGCGCCACCAUGCCGGCCUAAUGUUUUGUAUUUUAGUAGAGACGGGGUUUCACUAUGUUGGCCAGGAUGGUCUCAAUCUCCCGACCUCAUGAUCCACCUGCCUCGGCCUCCCAAAGUGCUGGGAUUACAGGUGUGAGCCGCCAUGCCCAGCCUCAUGAGGGUUAUUAAGCACAUAAUUAUAGAAUGUGUUUUCUUCUUUUAACUACGAUAAGCAUUGUUCAGUAUUCUGUGGGUUUUUCUUUCUCCUUGCAAUGUCAACAGAAUACAUAAUGAGAAAGGUCAUGUCAGGGUCUUUUUGUUUCUCAAAGAUAUCUGAUGAAAUCUGAGGAAGUCAGCUUUACAAAUAACAUAAACUCUGGAGCUCCGUAAGCUGAACGAGUUAGUCUUGGAAGAGUUGCCUCUGCAGCAUUGCUACUCAGAACUUCUAUGAAAACCACAAGAAGUGGUGAGAGGAAGCGGCAAAAUCAAUGACAGAACACAAAUACCCUCUUCUGCCAACCGCUUAAAAGGAAAUUAUGGGGGGCUGGGUCGGUGGUUCGGUGGCUCACGCCUGUAAUCCCAACACUUUGGGAGGCUAAGGCGAGAGGAUUGCUUGAGCCCAGGAGUUUGAGACCAGCCAGGGAAACAUACAGAGAUGUCAGCUCUACAAACGAUAAUAAAAAGAAAAUUAUCCAAGCAUGGUGGUACACGCCUGUUGUCCCCACUACUUGGGAGGCUGAGUGGGAGAGGCUGAGGUUGGCAGAUUGCUUGAGCCAUGAUCACACCACUGCACUCAGUCUGGGUGACAGAGCAAGACCCAGUCUCAAAACAACAACAACAACAACAACAAAACCCAGAAAAUUCUUCACAAAGGUUAUACAUUUUCUCAAUAAUAUACAAAUUUGAGAAAUGUGAAGUACAUUUAAUUGAAUUAUGUAAAAUAUAACACAGACUUCAUAUAUUCAAUUCACAAAUAAAUUUUCUAGGUUCUUUACUUUUUCAUGUUCAUAUGUUUUUUAUGAAGAACAUAUGGUCACCUAAGAAGAAUAAAAUAAAAACCCAUCAAACAGAAAUAUUCAUAUCCUCCCCAAACCGUAUUAUCUUAAACACAAUUACAAACUUAUUUAAUUACACAAGUGAGAAUCUUAAGCUGAGAGAAGAAAAUUUCUAGAGAAAUUUCUUUUGUUCAUUAUAGGAUUAUUUCAAUACUGAAGGAUAGUCUUCGACAUUAGAAUUGCUUCCUUUUAAAGUGUACAAAUGCCAGUGUAAAAGGAAACAUCAUAACAUCCAUUUCAGCCUUAAUUUUCUAAUGGCUCAGGCCGUUUUUAUACAGUGUAUUCUUCUCCAGUGUCUUAAGAUAGUUUGGAAACAGUACCUGUUGAACCUUUCAGAGAGCAGUCUACCAUAUAUCCCUUGAUCCUCAAUUUCUAAUUUAGAUUCAUUUGUGGUUGUUACAGUUAUAAGUAACGUACAUUUAAGAAAGAUAUAUCUGUAGAACAGUUUCUGCACUUAUAUGUGUAUAUAAAUUAUAUGUCUGCUAAAUUUUUUUUGGCCUUUGUACUUGAAAAAAAAUUAACAGAUGUUAAAAUAUUUGGCUCACAAGCAAUGUUAAAAACAAUCUGUAGAUAAUGCUUCCUUAUUUUUCUUGGAUUAAUGUAAAAUCAGGAUUAAUUUGCUUUGUGUACCUGGGAAAUAAUCUCGUUUGUAUGCUUGUUUCUAGGAUGUCUUUUACUCUUCAUAAUAAUAAAAAAGUCAGUGCAUGUCAGUAUAUACAUAUCCUUCUUGAUUUUAUCUGGAAAUUAUUAGGUUUGAUCUCAAUUAUUUAUCAUUUAUAUCCAUUAGCUUUUUAACCCAUAAUUGUCAUUAUUAAAAUUUUUUUCAUGUUUACUACUGUGAAAGGUUCAUGGAAUUCACUUUGGGUAUACUGAAAACAUUAUAUGUGAAAUACUUUGCAGAGAUUCUAGCACACAGACAAAAUUCAGUAGCUGAUAUUUAGAGUUAUUAUUCCCAGUCUUGGAGUUAAUCCCAAAUUGAGGAUUUCUUCCCAAUACUGCCAAGAAAUUUUAGUAUAAGGGUCCAGCAAUGUUUGCUCUUGCCUGUCUGUGCUGACCCUUGGCCACUACACAAGUCCCGAGAGAGAGUUUAUAAUACCUGAUGACAGAUGUUUCUGAUAAUUUCAGCAUUGUAUUAUGACCCUCUAGAUUAACUACUUAUGAGUUCCUUUAUGACUUUGGGGACAAUCUCCAAAUCUCAUGCUGUAUUUCCUAGGAAGCAGCUAUUCCCUAUAGCUGUUGCUUGUUUUUCCAUCUCACUACUCCACAGACACUCUCAGUUAGUAUGUGUAAGGCCCAGCCUGUCCUUGCUGUGGUUGAAACCUUUAUGCCUGACUAUGUGAGUUAAAAUAUUUCUAACCUGCACACCAAUGAAGCACUUUACCUUAAACUAUCACAUAUACUGAUAACUACACGAUACAAGAUUGAUUCAUUCAUUAAUAAAAUCUCAUUGUACAUUCUCUUAAAAUAAUGGAAACUAUUCUUCUUCCUUUUCUAAUUAUCUCUCAAAUUGCUUUAUCAUCGGUUACCAAUAGUUAGUAAAGCAGAACUGUGUUACAUGAACCAUAGAUUUAGCAUAUGUUUCCAUUUGUUCCAGUGGCAGCCUGACUUUAAUGACAAUUAAUUGGUUCAAAGUCUAAUCACUUUGAUUAAGCUGACUAGAAGCAGGGAAAAACAAUCAAUUUCUGUGCCUUUCCUUCCAUUAUAAAAGAGGAAACAGGGAGAAAGUUAACAUUAAUUGAACACUACCUUUUUUAAAAAAUGUGUUCUAUGCUUCGUAUAUAUUACAUUAAAUAAAUUUGCUCUAUUCUUCUAUUGUGCAAUUACAUUUAUAUUUCUAUGAAUGUAUACCAACUUACAGUACUGCAAAAUGUAACAUGUAGAGCUCUUUGUAUGAAUCCUAUGGAUUUAGUAAUUUAUAGUGUUUUUAAAAUUCUGUUUCACACUUAAUGUUCAUGUUGUCUCAACUGUAAAAUUAUGAGCUAUCUAGUAUCACAUAUAUUCUCAUGUAGUCCUUCAGUCAAGCUAGGUCUACAAACAACCACUAAAAUGGCCAUUUUUGAGUCAACUCUUUUAAUCUCAGCUAUCUUAUAAGACGGUGAUAAUGAUACAGGUGAUGAUGUCUAUGCUCCAUUUUAUGGACCUUGUUGAUUAUUAUGCCUUAAUCCCAGCAGUUUGGGAGGCCCAGGCGCAUGGAUCACGAGGUCAGGAGAUUGAGACCAUCCUGGCUAACACGGUGAAACCCCGUCUCUACUAAAAAUACAAAAAAUUAGCAGGGUGUGGUGGUGGGCGCCUGUAGUUCCAGCUACUCUGGAGGCUGAGGCAGGAGAAUGGCGUGAGCCCGGGAGGCGGAAUUUGCAGUGAGCGGAGAUCACACCACUGCACUCCAGCCUGGGCUACAGAGCGAGACUCCUCUAAAAAAAACAAACAAACCAACAAACUAAUCACUGUAAUAACUCAGUUUUUAUUGUUUACUGUUGUAUUAGUUCACUAGGGCUGUCAUAACAAAGUACUAUGGACUGGGUGGCCUAAGCAACAGAAAUUUAUUUCCUGACAGGUUUGGAGGCUGGAAGUCCAAGAUCAAGAUCUUAGUAGAGUUGGUUUCUGCUGAGGCCACUCUCUUUGGCUUGUAAGAGGGAUCUUCUCCAUGUGUCUUCACACGGUCUUCCUUCUCUGUUUGCAUGUGUCCUAAUCUCCUCUUUUUAUAAAAACACCAGUUACAUUAGAUUAGGGCACCCUAAUGAUGCCAAAAUUCUUUAAAGACUCAUCUCUAAUAUGGUUACAUUCUAAGGAACUGGGGGUUAAGACUUCAACAUAUGAAUUUCUAGAAGAGCACAAUUCAGGCCACAACACCACUAACCCUUUACAAUGUAUUGGAGUAGAUAACAUAUCUUUCCUUAUUCCUAAAUGAAAAACAUGGUGUACAUGAAUUUUUUUUUUUUUUUGGCUAACCUGUUUAGAUCACCUUGGGAUUCAAUUCAGAAAUUAGAAUAUACUGUUUAGUAGUACUAAUCAAAACUCUAAAUGUAAUGUAAUAUCAAAUAAUUCCCCCUUCUUCACAUUGGGCCUAAUUUAUGUUGGCAGCCUGCAGAGGCAAAGGCUUUUUCUGUUUUACGACUUAAGCUUUUUUUUUAUUCCUCACUGUUCCUACCCACUCCUAAAUUCACCCAGUCUGCUAAUCAAUUUAUUUUUUAUUUUUUAUUUUUUUAUUCUUCCAGAGUGGCAAAGCUGUAAGAGAGGUCUUACUUGAACUGGUUUGUAUAACUCCUUCCUGUUCUCUGGCCUGCCAGAGAUUUAAAGCUCCCUGUCCUGAGACCAUUUGGAUUUUCUUAGAGAUUCCCAUCUCUGAGCACCUCUUAACUGAAGUGCAAAGAGAGAGGACAAUGCAUAUUUUAUAAGUGAGCCACUUUUUGUGAAAACUCUGGGAGGCAGGCUAACCUUAGGCAGUGCAGUCAGCUCCCUGUAUUCAGUUGUCACAAGCCAGCCUUAUCAUGUGUGAGUCAGGCCACAGCCUGCCAUAUUCUCAAGUACCAGAAGCAUAUACCAAGCUCUCCAACUGGCAUCCUGCAUAAUUUGCAGGUCCCAGUGCAAAAUGAAAAUGCAGAACUUAUUUUUAUAAAAUUACCAAGAAUUCCAAGAUUGUAGGGAUCUGUGUGAUUGCAUGGGUUGCAAGCUCAAGAACUUCCUGGCCUUGAAUCCUCCUCUUACUGGAAGCUAGAAUCCCAGCCCAUCUCCUCUAGAGGGAGGGCAACUAAUCUCUCCAGGCAAAAUCUUGUAAUCUUCUUCAUAUUCUGAUACUUUCCAUUAUGGGUUGAACUGUGGCUCCCCAGAUGAUAUAUUGAAGUACUAACCACCAGUACCAAAAAAUGUGCACACUUAUGGAGAUAGUCCUCAUGAUGAAGUCAUACUGGAGUAAGAUGGGCCCUUAAUCUAAAAGGACUGGCGUCCUUAUAAGAGAAUAGAGACAGAGAAAAGACAGCCAUGUGAUGAUGGAAGUAGAGACUGGAAUGAUGCAUCUACAAGCCAUGGGACACCAAGGAUUGUUGGCAAACACCGGAAGCUAGAAGAGGAAAAAGAUGAUUCUCCCUUAGGUUUCAGAGGGAGUAUGGCACUUCUGACACCUUGAUUUCAGACUUCUAGCCUCCAGAACUAUAAGACAAUAAAUUUCUAUUAAGCAAUUUACUAGGUUUCUAUUAAGCAACCUAGUUUGCAGUAAUUUGAUACAACAGCUCCAGCAAACCAACAUACCUCCUUUUCCUCCUCAUGCUGGUUGAAGUGUCUAAAGUCACGAAAUCAGAUUUCCAAAGUGUCUUUGCAAAUUUUGCACAGGAAAAUCUGAUUUUAGAUUGUCAUUGCAAAUUUUGCAUAGGGAAAUCUGAUUUUACAUUUCACAUUUAUUGUAUCUUGGUAUCUGGGCUGAAAUUUUAACAUCCAGUUAUACUUUCCAAUAGUAUAAAAUCAACCAUUUUCAAAAUACUUUUAUAUUAUAGCUGUAUCUUCAUAAAGGUGUUUUAUAAUGUGACUAGGUGAUUUCCUGAUUUUAUGUAUACUUUAUUGAAGUCGUAAUGAUUUCUGCUUCUGAAUUUAUAUUGUAAUCAAAUGAGUACUAUCUAUAAUGGAUGAUACUACAUAUAAAGCCAAUUCAAAUCUCAAUUCCUUUUAAUCUCUGUAUUUUUCUUUUCAUAGAUGAUGUUUUAGUCCGUUCUCACACUGCUAUAAGGACAUACCUAAGACUGGGUAAUUUAUAAAGGAAAGAGGUUUAAUGGACUCACAGUUCCACAUAGCUGGGGAGGCUCACAAUUGUGGUGGAAGGUGAAGGAGGAGCAAAGGCACAUCCCACAUGGUGGCAGGCAAGAGAGCGUGUGCAGGGAAACUGCCCUUUAUAAAACCAUCAGCUCUCGUGAGACUUAUUCACUAUCAUGAGAACAACAUGGGAAAAACCUGCCCCCAUGAUUCAAUUAUCUCCCACCAGGUCCCUCUCAUGACACGUGGGGAUUAUGGGAGCUACAAUUCAAGAUGAGAUUUUGGUGGAGACACAGCCAAAUCAUAUCAGAUG